rnacentral:rRNA from 1 species
AUUGAACGCUGGCGGCAGGCCUAACACAUGCAAGUCGAACGGUAACAGGAAACAGCUUGCUGUUUCGCUGACGAGUGGCGGACGGGUGAGUAAUGUCUGGGAAACUGCCUGAUGGAGGGGGAUAACUACUGGAAACGGUAGCUAAUACCGCAUAACGUCGCAAGACCAAAGAGGGGGACCUUCGGGCCUCUUGCCAUCGGAUGUGCCCAGAUGGGAUUAGCUAGUAGGUGGGGUAACGGCUCACCUAGGCGACGAUCCCUAGCUGGUCUGAGAGGAUGACCAGCCACACUGGAACUGAGACACGGUCCAGACUCCUACGGGAGGCAGCAGUGGGGAAUAUUGCACAAUGGGCGCAAGCCUGAUGCAGCCAUGCCGCGUGUAUGAAGAAGGCCUUCGGGUUGUAAAGUACUUUCAGCGGGGAGGAAGGGAGUAAAGUUAAUACCUUUGCUCAUUGACGUUACCCGCAGAAGAAGCACCGGCUAACUCCGUGCCAGCAGCCGCGGUAAUACGGAUGGUGCAAGCGUUAAUCGGAAUUACUGGGCGUAAAGCGCACGCAGGCGGUUUGUUAAGUCAGAUGUGAAAUCCCCGGGCUCAACCUGGGAACUGCAUCUGAUACUGGCAAGCUUGAGUCUCGUAGAGGGGGGUAGAAUUCCAGGUGUAGCGGUGAAAUGCGUAGAGAUCUGGAGGAAUACCGGUGGCGAAGGCGGCCCCCUGGACGAAGACUGACGCUCAGGUGCGAAAGCGUGGGGAGCAAACAGGAUUAGAUACCCUGGUAGUCCACGCCGUAAACGAUGUCGACUUGGAGGUUGUGCCCUUGAGGCGUGGCUUCCGGAGCUAACGCGUUAAGUCGACCGCCUGGGGAGUACGGCCGCAAGGUUAAAACUCAAAUGAAUUGACGGGGGCCCGCACAAGCGGUGGAGCAUGUGGUUUAAUUCGAUGCAACGCGAAGAACCUUACCUGGUCUUGACAUCCACGGAAGUUUUCAGAGAUGAGAAUGUGCCUUCGGGAACCGUGAGACAGGUGCUGCAUGGCUGUCGUCAGCUCGUGUUGUGAAAUGUUGGGUUAAGUCCCGCAACGAGCGCAACCCUUAUCCUUUGUUGCCAGCGGUUCGGCCGGGAACUCAAAGGAGACUGCCAGUGAUAAACUGGAGGAAGGUGGGGAUGACGUCAAGUCAUCAUGGCCCUUACGACCAGGGCUACACACGUGCUACAAUGGCGCAUACAAAGAGAAGCGACCUCGCGAGAGCAAGCGGACCUCAUAAAGUGCGUCGUAGUCCGGAUUGGAGUCUGCAACUCGACUCCAUGAAGUCGGAAUCGCUAGUAAUCGUGGAUCAGAAUGCCACGGUGAAUACGUUCCCGGGCCU